UACGUAGGCAGCAAGCGUUGUUCGGAAUUACUGGGCGUAAAGAGUGUGUAGGCGGUGUUCUAAGUUUGUCGUGAAAUCUCCCGGCUUAACUGGGAGGGUGCGGCGAAAACUGGAAUGCUAGAGGAUGGGAGAGGUAAGCGGAAUUCCUGGUGUAGCGGUGAAAUGCGUAGAUAUCAGGAGGAACACCUGUGGCGAAAGCGGCUCACUGGACCAUAACUGACGCUGAUGCACGAAAGCUAGGGGAGCAAACAGG
rnacentral:rRNA from 1 species